rnacentral:lncRNA from 1 species
CUGAUUCGGAAGCCUCAAGAGCAAGAACAAAAGAUGUGCAAUCUAUUGGAGGCAAUUUCAAUAUUUUUGGAAGUAUAUUUUGUAAGAAAAUCAGGUUUAUAUUUUUGAGUCGACCCCAUGAGACGACUCAUGGCUAGAAAGGCUGAACGGUACGUAAAAUUUAUUGGCUGGCACACUCUGUGAGUCGACCCCAUGGGUCGAUCCCUUGGCAUGAGUCGACCUCUGCUGCUCUGCAGGAUAAAAUUAUAGAACAGUCAUUUUCUGCUCUUUUCCACAG